rnacentral:misc_RNA from 1 species
AAGUCGUAACAAGGUUUCCGUAGGUGAACCUGCGGAAGGAUCAUUAACACGAAUUUAAUAUUUUCCAAUAUUUAAAACCAAACCCGCGAACCUUUUUCCUCCCUAUUUCGUUUAUCGGAGACGAUACGAUUAGGCUACCAUUUUUUUCAUAUAUCAAACCCCUUUUAUUAAUCAACUUUACGUUUUGUGUCUCGUUGGAUUUGCUUAUAACUUUUUGUUUGUAGCCAAACCCGAAGUGGCGCGACGUGACUAACUAAAAACUAUAUAUACAUUGUGCGUAUACAUAUUUUUUUUCUUUACGAAAUAAAUACUAUUCACAUACAGAACAACUCUUAGCAAUGGAUAUCUUGGUUCUC